rnacentral:lncRNA from 1 species
AGCAGAGAUUUGGUUCUACACAUUGCCUCAGAAAAAAGCCCUGAGAGAAAUGUCACCUAAAUACUAGAGAAACAUACAUGAAAACAAGAUUGAGGAAGCCCAUUUACAUGCUGAGUAUGAGUGAUUCCUGCUGUUUCAGAAGCACUUUACCUGUCAAGCCACAGGCAGCUGCUUAUCCUCAGGAUCCUCAGAUCUUCAGAAUGGCCAGCAGCUGUUUCUGGAAACUGGUGUAUCCUUGACUUGAAAGGCAAAUACUAUCUCCCAGCAACAAAGUAACAGAUUAGUGCCCUAAAUCUUCUGGUGCAUCAUUAAAAAAAAUUACAGCUGUCACAAGAAACAGAACAUAAUUUUUACUUGCCGGUUGUCAGCAUUGCUUGCUCAUUUGGAACUUCCAAUUACUUCAUCAAGGAGAAACUGCUUUUUAGGAAGCAGCAACCUCCUCCUUCCUUAUCCCUGCAAAACUACUACUGGCAAUUUUUGAAAACAAACAAGGAUUUUUCAGUUGUGGCUUAGUCUUCUCCAAUAAUCAUUGUGGCUCUUCUGGUUCACCUUCAAAACACUUCCUGCACAUGCUCCUCCUUCCACUCCCAAACCAAAAUUAGAGCAACAAUUCAGCAAUGUGUUGCAGGAGGAAGAUUUUCAAGCCAACAGCGUGGCCACCACGGACAAUUUUAUGCAUUCAGUCUUGGGGAUUAUACUUAACUCAUGAAAAUGGCUAGCAGUGAGACAGCUGGGAAGGCAGCUAUCACUAACAUGACUAGUGCUGCUCCACACUGGCACUGGACACCCCUUGUUCUGACUGUGGCACCAGAGAUCCAUUAGAGAACAGUGCUGUUCAGUCACUGCCCAUUUGGUAAGUGGCCAUUUUUGUAAUGAUGACCCACAGGUGGACAUUUUGAAUCUGGGUCAAUAGCCAUAGCAUUACCUGAUACAG